CCCCCCGUAACAGGGUUGGGCAAAUUUCAGUGUGGUUCUGGGAACUUUCAAUAUUGGGGACCAAGGUGAAGGCAUUGUACCUGACCUUACGCUGAUUAUUGGAGCAGUUCUGAAUUCUGUUGGAGUUGGAAAUGUGGCUACUAGUGGCGGGGCGAGCAAUACACCUACAGCUGCCAAUGUGGCUGGCCCACCAUCCUAAGAAUAUUGCAGGGCGCAUUGAAAGAGGGGGGAACUACUGAUCCAGUGACACGGGGACAAAUUCAGGCAGAAACAAUGCAAGUAGGAGUGGCCAUGCAACAUUUAGGAGCUCUUCUUUUAGAGCUUGGUCGUACUAUUCUGACAUUGCGUAUGGGGCAGUCCCCUGUAUGAUUUCUUACCUUUC